rnacentral:rRNA from 1 species
CCUACGGGAGGCAGCAGUGAGGAAUAUUGGUCAAUGGACGGGAGUCUGAACCAGCCAAGUAGCGUGAAGGAUGAAUGUCCUAUGUGUUGUAAACUUCUUUUAUCUGGGAAUAAAAUGUUCCACGUGUGGGAGUUUGUAUGUACCAUAUGAAUAAGGAUCGGCUAACUCCGUGCCAGCAGCCGCGGUAAUACGGAGGAUCCGAGCGUUAUCCGGAUUUAUUGGGUUUAAAGGGAGCGUAGGUGGAUUGUUAAGUCAGUUGUGAAAGGUUGCGGCUCAACCGUAAAAUUGCAGUUGAAACUGGCAGUCUUGAGUACAGUAGAGGUGGGCGGAAUGCGUGGUGUAGCGGUGAAAUGCUUAGAUAUCACGAAGAACCCCGAUUGCGAAGGCAGUUCACUGGACUGAAACUGACACUGAGGCUCGAAAGUGUGGGUAUCAAACAGGAUUAGAUACCCGAGUAGUC